UCCCUGGUGGUCCAGUGGUUAGGACUUGGUGCUAUCAAUGCCAGGGCCCGGGUUCAAUCCCUGGUCAGGUAA